rnacentral:lncRNA from 1 species
CUGUCAGGACAACAUAGUUUAGGGUAGGUGCUCUCUAUGACCUUACUUGAAAUGAGCUUGCCAGUUUGGGGGCCACACUUGGUCCUCCCAGAUCAUUUAAACCCAUUUCCAUCCUAUGCUUCAGCCUUGCUUAUUACUCAGCACAAAGAGCUUCCUUCAUUCUCCUGAGAACCCACAGGUAUAAUAGAGGGUGUAGGGGGUAUUUGUA